AGUGAACGUUGGCGGCGUGGAUUAGGCAUGCAAGUCGAGCGAGAACCGUAGCAAUACGGGGACAGCGGCGAAAGGGACAGCAAUGUGUAGGUACCUACCCCGAGGUCUGGGAUAGCUGCGGGAAACUGCAGGUAAUACCGGAUAAUGUCUUCGGACCAAAGGUGUGAUUCCACCUUGGGAGGGGCCUGCAUCCUAUUAGCUAGUUGGCGGGGUAAUGGCCCACCAAGGCAACGAUGGGUAGCGGGUGUAAGAGCACGACCCGCGUCAUUGGGACUGAGACACUGCCCAGACACCUACGGGUGGCUGCAGUCGAGGAUCUUCGGCAAUGGGCGCAAGCCUGACCGAGCGACGCCGCGUGCGGGAUGAAGGCCUUCGGGUUGUAAACCGCUGUCGUAGAGGAGGAAAUGCAGGGGGGUUCUCCCUUCUGUUUGACCUAUUCUAGGAGGAAGGACGGGCUAAGUUCGUGCCAGCAGCCGCGGUAA
rnacentral:rRNA from 1 species